rnacentral:rRNA from 1 species
UACGUAGGGAGCAAGCGUUGUCCGGAAUCAUUGGGCGUAAAGCGCGCGUAGGCGGCCCGAUAAGUCCGCUGUGAAAGUCAACGGCUCAACUGUUGGAUGCCGGUGGAUACUGUCGGGCUAGAGUACGGAAGAGGCAAGUGGAAUUCCUGGUGUAGCGGUGGAAUGCGCAGAUAUCAGGAGGAACACCGAUGGCGAAGGCAGGUCUCUGGGCCACUACUGACGCUGAGAAGCGAAAGCGUGGGGAGCGAACAGG